rnacentral:other from 13 species
UGGGCGGGUCGCCAGCCGCGGGGCUGGCUGAGCACAGUAGGGUGCCGGGAUCGCGAGGCUACCGGGAGCGGCUGGGCCGCCGGCGGCGCGCCCCUCUGCCCUCCCGGGUGCCACGCCGGUCAGAUCCGUCGGCCCACCAACGCCCUCCUUCCUCUCAGCAUCCAUUUGGCUGGACUGCAGUCAGUGGACAUGACCGAUCCACCAAGGGCGCCGCCGCCGGCGCUCGCAAGCCGCAGGUCUUAAAGAAGAAAGCCCGUUCCCACACCACCCGGAGCAAGAAGGUGGCUCAGACCAAGAAGGUGACCCCGACCAAGAAGGCGGCCCAGACCAAGAAGGUGACCCAGACCAAGGAGGUGGCCCAGACCAAGAAGGUG